GACGAACGCUGGCGGCGUGCUUAACACAUGCAAGUCGACGAGCAGCGAACGGGUGAGUAACGCGAGAGUAACCUGCCCUCUUUUUGGGAUAAGCCUUGGAAACGGGGUCUAAUACCGAAUAUAGGGGGAUGGGCUCGGGGCAUAUCAGCUUGUUGGUGGGGUGAUGGCCUACCAAGGCGGUGAGGGGUAGCCGGCCUGAGAGGGUGACCUGCCACUGUGGAACUGAGAUGCGGCCCAGAAUGCUACGGGGUGCAGCAGUGGGGGAUAGUGCACAAUGUGUGAAAGUCUGAUGCAGCGAGGGCGCGUGAGGGAUGAAGAGUUUGGGGUUGUGAUCCUCUUUCGCAAUCAAGAGGUAGGUGGAGAAGAAGCGCCGGCUAACUACGUGCCAGCAGCCGCGGUAAUAC
rnacentral:rRNA from 1 species